CAGUCGCCGCGGGAAUACGAAGGGUGCAAGCGUUAACCGGAAUUACUGGGCGUAAAGCGUGCGUAGGCGGUGAGUUAAGUCUGCUGUGAAAUCCCCGGGCUCAACCUGGGAAUGGCAGUGGAUACUGGCUCGCUAGAGUGUGUCAGAGGAUGGUGGAAUUCCCGGUGUAGCGGUGAAAUGCGUAGAGAUCGGGAGGAACAUCAGUGGCGAAGGCGGCCAUCUGGGACAACACUGACGCUGAGGCACGAAAGCGUGGGGAGCAAACAGGAUUAGAUACCCCCGUAGUCCCUGUCUCUUAUAC
rnacentral:rRNA from 1 species